UACGUAGGUGGCAAGCGUUGUCCGGAAUUAUUGGGCGUAAAGCGCGCGCAGGCGGUUCCUUAAGUCUGAUGUGAAAGCCCACGGCUCAACCGUGGAGGGUCAUUGGAAACUGGGGAACUUGAGUGCAGGAGAGAAGAGUGGAAUUCCACGUGUAGCGGUGAAAUGCGUAGAUAUUGGGAGGAACACCUGCGGCGAAGGCGGCUACCUGGACAGAAACUGACGCUGAGGCGCGAAAGCUAGGGGAGCGAACGGG
rnacentral:rRNA from 1 species